rnacentral:rRNA from 1 species
GAUGAACGCUGGCGGCGUGCUUAACACAUGCAAGUCGAACGGAAAGGCUCCUGCUUGCAGGGGUACUCGAGUGGCGAACGGGUGAGUAACACGUGGGUGAUCUGCCCUGCACUUCGGGAUAAGCCUGGGAAACUGGGUCUAAUACCGGAUAGGACCAUCGUUUAGUGUCGGUGGUGGAAAGUUUUUUCGGUGUGGGAUGAGCUCGCGGCCUAUCAGCUUGUUGGUGGGGUAAUGGCCUACCAAGGCGUCGACGGGUAGCCGGCCUGAGAGGGUGUACGGCCACAUUGGGACUGAGGUACGGCCCAGACUCCUACGGGAGGCAGCAGUGGGGAAUAUUGCACAAUGGGCGCAAGCCUGAUGCAGCGACGCCGCGUGGGGGAUGACGGCCUUCGGGUUGUAAACUCCUUUCGCCAGGGACGAAGCGAAAGUGACGGUACCUGGAGAAGAAGCACCGGCUAACUACGUG